AGCGAACGCUGGCGGCAGGCUUAACACAUGCAAGUCGAGCGGGCAUCCUUGUGGUGUCAGCGGCAGACGGGUGAGUAACGCGUGGGAACGUGCCCUUCGGUUCGGAAUAACUCGGGGAAACUUGAGCUAAUACCGGAUACGUGCGAGAGCAGAAAGGUUUAUCUGCCGAAGGAUCGGCCCGCGUCUGAUUAGCUAGUUGGUGAGGUUACGGCUCACCAAGGCGACGAUCAGUAGCUGGUCUGAGAGGAUGAUCAGCCACACUGGGACUGAGACACGGCCCAGACUCCUACGGGAGGCAGCAGUGGGGAAUAUUGGACAAUGGGGGCAACCCUGAUCCAGCCAUGCCGCGUGAGUGAUGACGGCCUUAGGGUUGUAAAGCUCUUUUCUCCGGGACGAUAAUGACGGUACCGGAGGAAUAAGCCCCGGCUAACUUCGUG
rnacentral:rRNA from 1 species